rnacentral:rRNA from 1 species
ACAUGCAAGUCGAACGAACUCUGGUAUUGAUUGGUGCUUGCAUCAUGAUUUACAUUUGAGUGAGUGGCGAACUGGUGAGUAACACGUGGGAAACCUGCCCAGAAGCGGGGGAUAACACCUGGAAACAGAUGCUAAUACCGCAUAACAACUUGGACCGCAUGGUCCGAGCUUGAAAGAUGGCUUCGGCUAUCACUUUUGGAUGGUCCCGCGGCGUAUUAGCUAGAUGGUGGGGUAACGGCUCACCAUGGCAAUGAUACGUAGCCGACCUGAGAGGGUAAUCGGCCACAUUGGGACUGAGACACGGCCCAAACUCCUACGGGAGGCAGCAGUAGGGAAUCUUCCACAAUGGACGAAAGUCUGAUGGAGCAACGCCGCGUGAGUGAAGAAGGGUUUCGGCUCGUAAAACUCUGUUGUUAAAGAAGAACAUAUCUGAGAGUAACUGUUCAGGUAUUGACGGUAUUUAACCAGAAAGCCACGGCUAACUACGUGCCAGCAGCCGCGGUAAUACGUAGGUGGCAAGCGUUGUCCGGAUUUAUUGGGCGUAAAGCGAGCGCAGGCGGUUUUUUAAGUCUGAUGUGAAAGCCUUCGGCUCAACCGAAGAAGUGCAUCGGAAACUGGGAAACUUGAGUGCAGAAGAGGACAGUGGAACUCCAUGUGUAGCGGUGAAAUGCGUAGAUAUAUGGAAGAACACCAGUGGCGAAGGCGGCUGUCUGGUCUGUAACUGACGCUGAGGCUCGAAAGUAUGGGUAGCAAACAGGAUUAGAUACCCUGGUAGUCCAUACCGUAAACGAUGAAUGCUAAGUGUUGGAGGGUUUCCGCCCUUCAGUGCUGCAGCUAACGCAUUAAGCAUUCCGCCUGGGGAGUACGGCCGCAAGGCUGAAACUCAAAGGAAUUGACGGGGGCCCGCACAAGCGGUGGAGCAUGUGGUUUAAUUCGAAGCUACGCGAAGAACCUUACCAGGUCUUGACAUACUAUGCAAAUCUAAGAGAUUAGACGUUCCCUUCGGGGACAUGGAUACAGGUGGUGCAUGGUUGUCGUCAGCUCGUGUCGUGAGAUGUUGGGUUAAGUCCCGCAACGAGCGCAACCCUUAUUAUCAGUUGCCAGCAUUAAGUUGGGCACUCUGGUGAGACUGCCGGUGACAAACCGGAGGAAGGUGGGGAUGACGUCAAAUCAUCAUGCCCCUUAUGACCUGGGCUACACACGUGCUACAAUGGAUGGUACAACGAGUUGCGAACUCGCGAGAGUAAGCUAAUCUCUUAAAGCCAUUCUCAGUUCGGAUUGUAGGCUGCAACUCGCCUACAUGAAGUCGGAAUCGCUAGUAAUCGCGGAUCAGCAUGCCGCGGUGAAUACGUUCCCGGGCCUUGUACACACCGCCCGUCACACCAUGAGAGUUUGUAACACCCAAAGUCGGUGGGGUAACCUUUUAGGAACCAGCCGCCUAAGGUGGAC